AGAGGAAGAAAGCCUUGUCACACUAAAGGAGAGACAGCGGAUGUUCUGAACAGUCCUGUCGUGAAACGUUAGACAACGUGGACGAAACAGGCACAUUCCUAAGCAUCACACAUUACUGAAACUCAGUCAAGAAGAAAUAGAAAAUCUGAAUACAUCCAUGGCAAGCACAGAAACUGAACUAGGGGAUUCGAAAUCUUCCCACAAAGAAAAGCCUAGGCCCAACUGGCCUCUAUGCAUCCCACUUGAUGAAAAUUCCUGUUAUAAUAAAUUAGCCCCUUGAGGUUCCUGGAAAAGCAUGAAGACUUGAUAUCACCUCCUUCCUCCCACUCUCCAUGUAUACAAACACUCCAAUUGAUACUUUCUCUUAUAUUAUUAUUUAAACUAUUUUCUUUCUGACUCUGCGUUCUAUCUUCUGUCUUGACUUUAUUCACCCAAGAUGACCAAAAAGACAAAGAUUUGAGCUAUGAGUUUCAGACUUUGGACAACAUGUAGCCCAGGACAGUGAUCCCUGAGAAAAGGAAGACAAAUGAGGUGACACUGUGAUAGACCCAGAUCAACGCCUGGAAAAAGUUUCAAAGCUACAAUGUGAGGAGUGGGGACAAAACAGUCUAGUGGCUUUGCUGAGUGGAGAAGGCAAGUACUGGAGUCCAGGCAAAGUAUUGGUGAAGGUGGAGCCCUGGAGAAAAAGAACUCUAGAGAUCUGUAAGAGGCUCUCCUUGAAACUUCUACUGAGCACAGUUCUGCACAUGCAUGUAUAGAAUUUACUCAAGAUGAAGAAAGAACCAACGAAAAAAAGCAUAGUAUAAUGCUGAGAACUCAUAAAAUCGAGUAGGAAAUCUUGCCUAUUGAAAGAGCAUUGAGACAGAGUCCUCAGAAGGAAUUUUCUCAGUGGUGGGAACAAAUUAGCUAUAAACCCAAGUUUGCUCUGAUAUUGCUAUAACAAAGCUUAAAAGCAACUCUCAAAAGGCUCAAACUGAGUACAAAACAUCUAAUUGUAACCCAGGGUACUUCCCAACAGUAUUCAAGGGAAUAAAAUAUUUUGUGUAUAUUUUGUAUUACAGGAAUAUAUUGUAUUCCUUUAUAUAGCAUAUUGUAUUUCUUUAUAUAUGAAAUGAUAUAUCAUCCUAAUUUA
rnacentral:lncRNA from 1 species